GGUUAAGUGACUAAGCGUACACGGUGGAUNCCUGGGCAGUCAGAGGCGAUGNAGGACGUACUAACUUGCGAUAAGCGCAGAUAAGGCAGUAAGAGCCGUUUGAGUCUGCGAUUUCCGAAUGGGGAAACCCAACUGCAUAAGCAGUUACUGUUAACUGAAUACAUAGGUUAACAGANCAAACCGGGGGAACUGAAACAUCUAAGUACCCCGAGGAGAAGAAAUCACACCGAGAUUCCGGUAGUAACGGCGAGCGAACCUGGAUUAGCCCUUAAGCACUCGGUGRAGUAGGUGAACAAGCUGGAAARCUUGGCGAUACAGGGUGAUAGCCCCGUAACCGACGCUUCAUCGAGCKUGAAAUCGAGUAGGGCGGGACACGUGAUAUCCUGUCUGAAUAUGGGGGGACCAUCCUCCAAGGCUAAAUACUCCUGWCUGMCCGAUAGUGWRCCAGUACCGUGWGGGARAGGCGMAAAGAACCCCUGUGAGGGGAGUGAAAUAGAACCUGAAACCGUGUWCGWACMAGCAGUAGGAGCACCYUCGUGGUGUGACUGCGUACCUUUUGUAUAAUGGGUCAGCGACUUAUAUUCAGUGGCAAGGUUAACCGUAUAGGGGAGCCGUAGCGAAAGCGAGUCYUAACUGGGCGCUCAGUCUCUGGAUAUAGACCCGAAACCGGGUGAUCUAKCCAUGGGCAGGWUGAAGGUUGAGUAACAUCAACUGGAGGACCGAACCGACUAAUGUUGAAAAAUUAGCGGAUGACYUGUGGCUAGGGGUGAAAGSCCAAUCAAACUCGGAGAUASCUGGUUCUCCCCGAAASCUAUUUAGGUAKCSCCUCKGWCGAAUACUACUGGGGGUAGAGCWCUGUURAGKCUAGGGGGUCAUCCCGACUUMCCAACCCUUUSCAAACUCCGAAUACCAGUAAKUMCUAUCCGGGAGACACACGGCGGGUGCUAACGUCCGUYGUGGAGAGGGAAACAACCCAGACCGCCAGCUAAGGUCCCMAARUAUUGCUAAGUGGGAAACGAUGUGGGAAGGCUCAGACAGCUAGGAUGUUGGCUUAGAAGCAGCCAUCAUUUAAAGAAA
rnacentral:rRNA from 1 species